rnacentral:tRNA from 1 species
GCGGUAAUAGCUCAGUUGGUAGAGCACGACCUUGCCAAGGUCGGGGUCGCGAGUUCGAGUCUCGUUUACCGCUC